UACGAAGGGGGCUAGCGUUGCUCGGAAUCACUGGGCGUAAAGCGCGCGCAGGCGGUUCUUCAAGUCAGAGGUGAAAGCCCAGAGCUCAACUCUGGAAUGGCCUUUGAGACUAGAGAACUAGGGUACGGGAGAGGUGAGUGGAAUUCCGAGUGUAGAGGUGAAAUUCGUAGAUAUUCGGAAGAACACCAGUGGCGAAGGCGGCUCACUGGCCCGUUACCGACGCUCAGGCACGAAAGCGUGGGGAGCAAACAGG
rnacentral:rRNA from 1 species